GAGGCCCUGACUGAAGACCAGCAAUUACACUAUGGCUGUUGGUUUCAAGCAGAGGCCCAAAGACUGUCUUUCUUAUCACCUGCUGGCUGUUCUGGAAACUCAGCAGAGAAUGGCUGUUUCACCGGAAGACACAACC